AUGAACGCUAGCGACAGGCUUAACACAUGCAAGUCGAGGGGCAGCACAGGUAGCAAUACCGGGUGGCGACCGGCGCACGGGUGAGUAACGCGUAUGCAACUUGCCUAUCAGAGGGGGAUAACCCGGCGAAAGUCGGACUAAUACCGCAUGAAGCAGGGGCCCCGCAUGGGGAUAUUUGCUAAAGAUUCAUCGCUGAUAGAUAGGCAUGCGUUCCAUUAGGCAGUUGGCGGGGUAACGGCCCACCAAACCGACGAUGGAUAGGGGUUCUGAGAGGAAGGUCCCCCACAUUGGUACUGAGACACGGACCAAACUCCUACGGGAGGCAGCAGUGAGGAAUAUUGGUCAAUGGGCGUAAGCCUGAACCAGCCAAGUCGCGUGAGGGAUGAAGGUUCUAUGGAUCGUAAACCUCUUUUAUAAGGGAAUAAAGUGCGGGACGUGUCCCGUUUUGUAUGUACCUUAUGAAUAAGGAUCGGCUAACUCCGUGCCAGCAGCCGCGGUAAUACGGAGGAUCCGAGCGUUAUCCGGAUUUAUUGGGUUUAAAGGGUGCGUAGGCGGCCUUUUAAGUCAGCGGUGAAAGUCUGUGGCUCAACCAUAGAAUUGCCGUUGAAACUGGGGGGCUUGAGUAUGUUUGAGGCAGGCGGAAUGCGUGGUGUAGCGGUGAAAUGCAUAGAUAUCACGCAGAACCCCGAUUGCGAAGGCAGCCUGCCAAGCCAUUACUGACGCUGAUGCACGAAAGCGUGGGGAUCAAACAGGAUUAGAUACCCUGGUAGUCCACGCAGUAAACGAUGAUCACUAGCUGUUUGCGAUACACUGUAAGCGGCACAGCGAAAGCGUUAAGUGAUCCACCUGGGGAGUACGCCGGCAACGGUGAAACUCAAAGGAAUUGACGGGGGCCCGCACAAGCGGAGGAACAUGUGGUUUAAUUCGAUGAUACGCGAGGAACCUUACCCGGGUUUGAACGCAUUCGGACCGAGGUGGAAACACCUUUUCUAGCAAUAGCCGUUUGCGAGGUGCUGCAUGGUUGUCGUCAGCUCGUGCCGUGAGGUGUCGGCUUAAGUGCCAUAACGAGCGCAACCCUUGCCACUAGUUACUAACAGGUAAAGCUGAGGACUCUGGUGGGACUGCCAGCGUAAGCUGCGAGGAAGGCGGGGAUGACGUCAAAUCAGCACGGCCCUUACAUCCGGGGCGACACACGUGUUACAAUGGCGUGGACAAAGGGAGGCCACCUGGCGACAGGGAGCGAAUCCCCAAACCACGUCUCAGUUCGGAUCGGAGUCUGCAACCCGACUCCGUGAAGCUGGAUUCGCUAGUAAUCGCGCAUCAGCCAUGGCGCGGUGAAUACGUUCCCGGGCCUUGUACACACCGCCCGUCAAGCCAUGGGAGCCGGGGGUACCUGAAGUCCGUAACCGAAAGGAUCGGCCUAGGGUAAAACUGGUGACUGGGGCU
rnacentral:rRNA from 1 species